GCCCCCGUAGCUCAGGUGGAUAGAGCACAGGAUUCCUAAUCCUGGCGUCGCACGUUCGAGUCGUGCCGGGGGCA
rnacentral:tRNA from 1 species